rnacentral:rRNA from 1 species
UACGGGGGGGGUAAGCGUUGUUCGGAAUUACUGGGCGUAAAGGGCUCGUAGGCGGCCAACUAAGUCGGACGUGAAAUCCCUCAGCUUAACUGGGGAACUGCGUCCGAUACUGGAUGGCUUGGAUUUGGGAGAGGGAUGCGGAAUUCCAGGUGUAGCGGUGAAAUGCGUAGAUAUCUGGAGGAACACCGGUGGCGAAGGCGGCAUCCUGGACCGGUAUUGACGCUGAUGCGCGAAAGCCAGGGGAGCAAACGGG